CGUCGGAGCACCAAAAAAAAUAUAUACCAAAACAAUAUAAAAUGCAUGUAUUCAAUUUUAUUGGGAUAACUCAGAAACUUACGAACAAAUUUUUAUAAUCCCCAAAAGCUAACUUCGACUUAAAAAUUGCUGGCUCGAAAUUGAUUAUAGACCCAUAGUUUCUUAUCAAAGUUUUUUAGAAUGAUCCGUAGAACAUUUUCCGCACUCUAAUGUAUGUAUAUAUACGACAUAGUCCUUCAGUUUUUGAGUUAUCGACACACGUCCUUUUCUCCCAAUGAAGCUACUCAUUUGUCGGAAUCGCCGAUAUCGGAUCACUAUAGGAUGUAGCUGCCAUACAAACUGAAUGAUCCUAUAAAGUGCUUGUAUGGAAAACCUGUUUAUUUACCAAGAUAUCCUCUCGAAUUUGGCAUUGAUUAUUGGUCAUGGCAACGGUACAAUCUUCAAACAAAUAAUUUAGCAGUGCACAUGUGAAGGGUAUUAUAAUUUCGAUGCAGCCGAAAUUAAAGUUUUGUUUAGACAUACUAAGUGGAAAAGACUACCAAAAUGUCUGUUGUAAGUGAACAUUUAUUGCUUCGCCUUAAAUUAGUUAAAUUAAAAUUAAAACAUAUUUUCGUCUUACAUUAUUGUGUACUAUGUUAAAUACGAUGCAAAUAAGUAAAAUUAAUAUGUUUACUCACUAAAUACAUAUGUUCGAGUGUAUGUGUAGUAUCUAAAUUAUUAUGGCUGUCAACAAAAUCGUCGAGACUCGUAUUAAAAAUAAGCUCAUUUGAUCAUCAAUCAUCAAAUGAUUAAGUGGAUUUAGGCAAAAUCUCACUGAGUGGAUUUUUAAAUGUGUUUUUUUUUUAUUAAACCUCGGUGUGAAGUUCAGAAUUUAGAAAAUAUAACAAGGAAAGCUGGGCUUUGAAGUACGUUCGAAAAAAUUUAAUCAAAAUAUAAAAUAGAAAUAUGUUAAAUUUUUAAAAUUGUAUGGCACAUAACAAGUUGGGGUAAAUAUUAAACCACUUAGUGUUAUUGUAGUCGAGCGAGCGUCUUUCCACAUCCGUCAGUCAUUUCAGAGUAUAACAGCGUCCAAGAUCGAUCGUAACACAACUAACCAAGCACUAAUCGGCUAACUUGGCUCAGGUGUUGCGCACAGCCAUAGGUAUAUACGGGUAAGUGUGUGUGUGUGUACUUGCACUCGUACUCAACUGUGUCUCUUACUUUGGGCCAAGCUCAAAACACGUUUAUAUCAACUCAUUUGGCCUAUUGAGCGCUGAGAGGCCAACUGAUAUUCAA